rnacentral:rRNA from 1 species
GGUUAAGCGACUAAGCGUACACGGUGGAUGCCCUGGCAGUCAGAGGCGAUGAAGGACGUGCUAAUCUGCGAUAAGCGUCGGUAAGGUGAUAUGAACCGUUAUAACCGGCGAUUUCCGAAUGGGGAAACCCAGUGUGAUUCGUCACACUAUCAUUAACUGAAUCCAUAGGUUAAUGAGGCGAACCGGGGGAACUGAAACAUCUAAGUACCCCGAGGAAAAGAAAUCAACCGAGAUUCCCCCAGUAGCGGCGAGCGAACGGGGAGCAGCCCAGAGCCUGAAUCAGUGUGUGUGUUAGUGGAAGCGUCUGGAAAGGCGCGCGAUACAGGGUGACAGCCCCGUACACAAAAAUGCACAUACUGUGAGCUCGAUGAGUAGGGCGGGACACGUGGUAUCCUGUCUGAAUAUGGGGGGACCAUCCUCCAAGGCUAAAUACUCCUGACUGACCGAUAGUGAACCAGUACCGUGAGGGAAAGGCGAAAAGAACCCCGGCGAGGGGAGUGAAAAAGAACCUGAAACCGUGUACGUACAAGCAGUGGGAGCACGCUUAGGCGUGUGACUGCGUACCUUUUGUAUAAUGGGUCAGCGACUUAUAUUCUGUAGCAAGGUUAACCGAAUAGGGGAGCCGAAGGGAAACCGAGUCUUAACUGGGCGUUAAGUUGCAGGGUAUAGACCCGAAACCCGGUGAUCUAGCCAUGGGCAGGUUGAAGGUUGGGUAACACUAACUGGAGGACCGAACCGACUAAUGUUGAAAAAUUAGCGGAUGACUUGUGGCUGGGGGUGAAAGGCCAAUCAAACCGGGAGAUAGCUGGUUCUCCCCGAAAGCUAUUUAGGUAGCGCCUCGUGAAUUCAUCUCCGGGGGUAGAGCACUGUUUCGGCAAGGGGGUCAUCCCGACUUACCAACCCGAUGCAAACUGCGAAUACCGGAGAAUGUUAUCACGGGAGACACACGGCGGGUGCUAACGUCCGUCGUGAAGAGGGAAACAACCCAGACCGCCAGCUAAGGUCCCAAAGUCAUGGUUAAGUGGGAAACGAUGUGGGAAGGCCCAGACAGCCAGGAUGUUGGCUUAGAAGCAGCCAUCAUUUAAAGAAAGCGUAAUAGCUCACUGGUCGAGUCGGCCUGCGCGGAAGAUGUAACGGGGCUAAACCAUGCACCGAAGCUGCGGCAGCGACGCUUAUGCGUUGUUGGGUAGGGGAGCGUUCUGUAAGCCUGUGAAGGUGUGCUGUGAGGCAUGCUGGAGGUAUCAGAAGUGCGAAUGCUGACAUAAGUAACGAUAAAGCGGGUGAAAAGCCCGCUCGCCGGAAGACCAAGGGUUCCUGUCCAACGUUAAUCGGGGCAGGGUGAGUCGACCCCUAAGGCGAGGCCGAAAGGCGUAGUCGAUGGGAAACAGGUUAAUAUUCCUGUACUUGGUGUUACUGCGAAGGGGGGACGGAGAAGGCUAUGUUGGCCGGGCGACGGUUGUCCCGGUUUAAGCGUGUAGGCUGGUUUUCCAGGCAAAUCCGGAAAAUCAAGGCUGAGGCGUGAUGACGAGGCACUACGGUGCUGAAGCAACAAAUGCCCUGCUUCCAGGAAAAGCCUCUAAGCAUCAGGUAACAUCAAAUCGUACCCCAAACCGACACAGGUGGUCAGGUAGAGAAUACCAAGGCGCUUGAGAGAACUCGGGUGAAGGAACUAGGCAAAAUGGUGCCGUAACUUCGGGAGAAGGCACGCUGAUAUGUAGGUGAAGUCCCUCGCGGAUGGAGCUGAAAUCAGUCGAAGAUACCAGCUGGCUGCAACUGUUUAUUAAAAACACAGCACUGUGCAAACACGAAAGUGGACGUAUACGGUGUGACGCCUGCCCGGUGCCGGAAGGUUAAUUGAUGGGGUCAGCGCAAGCGAAGCUCUUGAUCGAAGCCCCGGUAAACGGCGGCCGUAACUAUAACGGUCCUAAGGUAGCGAAAUUCCUUGUCGGGUAAGUUCCGACCUGCACGAAUGGCGUAAUGAUGGCCAGGCUGUCUCCACCCGAGACUCAGUGAAAUUGAACUCGCUGUGAAGAUGCAGUGUACCCGCGGCAAGACGGAAAGACCCCGUGAACCUUUACUAUAGCUUGACACUGAACAUUGAGCCUUGAUGUGUAGGAUAGGUGGGAGGCUUAGAAGUGUGGACGCCAGUCUGCAUGGAGCCGACCUUGAAAUACCACCCUUUAAUGUUUGAUGUUCUAACGUUGACCCGUAAUCCGGGUUGCGGACAGUGUCUGGUGGGUAGUUUGACUGGGGCGGUCUCCUCCUAAAGAGUAACGGAGGAGCACGAAGGUUGGCUAAUCCUGGUCGGACAUCAGGAGGUUAGUGCAAUGGCAUAAGCCAGCUUGACUGCGAGCGUGACGGCGCGAGCAGGUGCGAAAGCAGGUCAUAGUGAUCCGGUGGUUCUGAAUGGAAGGGCCAUCGCUCAACGGAUAAAAGGUACUCCGGGGAUAACAGGCUGAUACCGCCCAAGAGUUCAUAUCGACGGCGGUGUUUGGCACCUCGAUGUCGGCUCAUCACAUCCUGGGGCUGAAGUAGGUCCCAAGGGUAUGGCUGUUCGCCAUUUAAAGUGGUACGCGAGCUGGGUUUAGAACGUCGUGAGACAGUUCGGUCCCUAUCUGCCGUGGGCGCUGGAGAACUGAGGGGGGCUGCUCCUAGUACGAGAGGACCGGAGUGGACGCAUCACUGGUGUUCGGGUUGUCAUGCCAAUGGCACUGCCCGGUAGCUAAAUGCGGAAGAGAUAAGUGCUGAAAGCAUCUAAGCACGAAACUUGCCCCGAGAUGAGUUCUCCCUGACUCCUUGAGAGUCCUGAAGGAACGUUGAAGACGACGACGUUGAUAGGCCGGGUGUGUAAGCGCAGCGAUGCGUUGAGCUAACCGGUACUAAUGAACCGUGAGGCUUAACCUUACAAC